rnacentral:lncRNA from 1 species
AAGUUCUGUUUUAUUUCAAAAUUAUGUAGUCUAUGUAAUAUUAAUUUGUUAUAGUCUUUAAUGUGCUAAAAGUGUGCUGUCGCAAAACAAAUUCAGUUAUUUCUUAAUCAUUGGUACCUACGAUGUACCUCGUUUACAGAAACCUCUACGAGCGCCUGUAUUUAACGUGGAAAGCUAACUUGAUUUACUAACGAAAUGGAAACUAAUUACGAUGACAGUGUACCGAGUGUCUAACUCAAGUAUCUCGAUUACCAAAUUUACGAAAUGGCAAUUCCGUAACUUGGUCGAACGUUAUCGAUAUUUCUUGUUUGUCGAAUUUUACUCGUUCUUACUACUUUCGCUGCAGUUACGUGUGCAUUUACAGCGAGAGAGAUACUCGAUAUUUCCCUUGGCAACGAUCCAACGCAAUUUCCUUAGUAGCGUAUUCUUAGUAUUCGCUCUUCUUGUGCAACGUAAUCUUCGCACGAUGCAUUUUCGCAUGUGUCGAUCGAGCAUUUAGUUUGUUCAGCAAGUUAUUACUGAUUUGUUUGAAUCUAAUGCUGCUGGAUGUCGAUUCCCUAACUUUUAACGACAAUAUCGUUAUCGUUACGUGUUGUUGCGUAGUUAUUUUUUGAUACGUUUUAUCUGCGUAACCACAUAUAACGAUAGCGACAUUGUCGAAAUUACGAAAUUAGGAAAUAGACAUACUGUAGAUACGACUGUAGAUACGGAUAGAUACGACUAUAUUACUACAUUUAACACUAAAUCUAUCACGCCGGUCAAAUGACCGUUUUAAAAUUUUUGAUUAAAAAUGCUGCAUUCGGCAGAAAUUCAUAAACAGAAAUUUCAAUGGUCAUUUUCUUCAGAACCUGACAGCAAUCAUUCUUUUUUGUCGCCUACACAUAUUGAUAAUAUUCGAUAGGAAUAAGUAUAUAUAAAUUGUGGGUAGGUUUAGUGUUAAAAAAGCAAUUAUUCCAUAAAUGCGAUAUUAUAACAAAGAUAUACAUCAGUAAAACUAGAGGUGAUCGCAAAUUACAUGAUGAACUGAACGACAAUAAGAUAUUUAAUUAACGCAAUUAUACAGGCACAGUAGUUAAAGGUGCGCCCGGAUACGCCCUGAUGCGCCUCUUAAUUUAAUUGUGGUAUCACAAUUUAAUGACACGCGACACACUUUUAAAGAAAUGAUCCAUUGCGUUGCACAAGAAACAUUAAAUUAGCGUAGCAUAAAAUGUUUUAGAAAUAUAUAUGGAAACAUAUACAUGGAAUCUCGUGGUCCCAGGUUUGCAGCAUGAUGCUUGCAGCAAAAUUUAUACGUUACAGCUAAGAGAAAAAAUAAAUUAUGCUUUUAGUUCUUCAUCUUAUUCUUCCUUACUUUUUCUUACUUCCUCCUUAUCUUGUUUUUUUUUCUAUGAUAAUUCUUUUUUAUAUGUAUGUAAUGAGCACCCGCAGACCAUGAUAAAGUGUGUGACGUUUCUAACGUAACUCUUACUGCGACCUAAAUGUACUAUAUCGCACUCAAUGUAACUAUAGAUAUUCACGACACGCGUCUUAGAAUGAAUAAUUGUAUUCGUACGACGUGUUGGUUUCUACCGCUCCGAAUGCCAUCAGACGAACGAAGUAUCGUGUCCCGUUUCUCUCUCUCGUCUCUCCCUCUCUCUCUCUCUCUGUUUGGUGAACGCAUCACUAUGGUUACGUUCCAUGCUGUUGUCCUAGAAUUUCCACGUUGAGCAUUACUCUCGCGUCAGCGUACCGAACCGCAAAUUAUUUUAUCGGUUACGUAAAGCCAGAAGCCCGUCGAGCAAGAAUUCAGGGAAACACCAUUCAUCGCCGCCGCGAUUAUUCUUAACGGUCUUCUCCUUAACGAGGAUAGUGGUCUCCGCAACGCAUCGAUCUUGCGAUUGUUUCGUGUUGUCUUAUGCACAGAUUGAGUCAACCAAUUAGGGCAACCUGUGACCAAGGUUGGACACAGAUGUGCUAAGUAUACCGAUAUACAGAUAUAUAGAUGUGCUGCGAUACCGAUCUGUAAAGUCUCAUAUUGUGGUGUGUGUAUUGCACACAACUUGCAGAACUAAAGAUCUCACUUCUCCAAGCCAUUUCGAAUUUUAUUUUUCAAAAAUAUAUUUGAAAUUUGUGAGGAAGUUUAUAAAUCAGUCAGUAUUAAUUUUAAUCAUUUAAUCGUUCGCGCAUGUGCAAGAGAAUUUUAACAGACAUUUCUUCAAAGUCGAUAAUCUUUAACCGUAAUUCAAUCGUCUCUUCGUCUCUUCCGUGAUUCCAUCUCUUUAUAUAGGAGAAGACAGAGAGACAAUUGCCCCGCGAUUAAAGUUAAUCGACGUCGGAGCAAUCAGCCCUAGAGCGAUCGAAGGGAUCUUGAAAGGAUCCAGCGGAUCCAACGGAUCUCUAUUCGAUUCUCUUGCUUAUCGAUGAGAAGGAUCACGUUCUCACCGGUCACGACACACAACUUGGAUUAUAGAAAAGCUAGUAAAUUCUCUCACAUUUAUUUUAUCUAUAAAAAAUAACACAAAAUUUAUGUACGUUUUAUUUCAAUGUUCUUAAUACUAAUUUUUUAAUACUAAUUUGCUAACAAAUAAAACGUCAGAAUAGAAUAUAUUAAUAAUCUCAAGUGAUAUUUUAAUGUUUAUAUAGUUUCUAAUGUGUGUUUGUAUCUAAUUUACAUGUGUGGGUGUAAAUGCAUAUAACAUGAAAUAUGAAUAAAAUGUAGAUGAUAGUAUACUACGGAUCUCUACGCGAAUGGUGUAGAAGAUUAAUCUUUGUAUAGCGGCAAAGAGAUUUGGAUCAUCGUCACGUUUAUACUCAAAAUUCUGAAACGAACAGGAAGCAGCAGCUGAAUUUUUUAUGAAUAUCUCUUACGAGCUUUUUGUAUAGUGUUAUCCUAUGAGUUUUAAGUUUCCUAUCUAUAUCUACGUAUUUUCAUAUGCACAGGUCAUCUUUCCAUUUCCAGUUUACUCUAAGAAAUAUGUAUAAUGUUCAAAGCGGCAAUGCUGAUGAUGAUUCUGAAUAAUGCGAGAAAUAAUUUGUGCAAUAACAUACAGUCAUUUACAAUAACGUACAUAAUAUAUAAUGUACUAAUUAUUUACACUGUGUUACAGGAACAGAUAAGGUCAAGAAUUUCGUAUGAAACGUCACAUUAAUUAUGUAGACUUCCAUGUAACCGGAGGAGGAAGAGGUUUCACGAGGUUGACACUUAAAUUUAUUUAUCGAGCAAUACGUGAUGAAAACAAAUUAUUCAGCAUAACACUUAAAAUUUUUAAUAAGCAGUCAAAAGAUAAUUUUUAUGACCUCUAUUUUACGGUUUCUUCGAUAAUUUCGUGACAUAUAAUGGGAAUAAAUUACCGAUAUUGAUUUCAUAUGCGUAAUUUAAUCAUUUUGGACGAAGUAUAUUAUAAGACACUUCCGAUUAUUCGAUCGUUUAGAAAAAUGCACCAAGCAAUCAUCUUUUUAAUUUUCUUAUUAAUUUUCUCUUAAUUAUCAUGCAUAUACAAAAAAAUAAUUAUAUUUUUUAUACCAAAUCUUGAUAAAGUGCAAGGAAAAAUUAAAUUAAAUUAAAU